ensembl:lncRNA novel transcript
AGGAAAAGAGGAGACAAACAAGGGUGACAUUGGCUGGGCAGCAAAGAUGACCAAAAGGCCAAGAAGCCUGUGCUGUUCCAGUAUUGAUCCGGUGCUCCUCCGUCACCAUCCGACCACAGAACCUCAGGCUGAUAGUUGUUCACUAACUCAUAGAGCUCUGGCAAUGUCUUAGAAACUGGAAAUUGCCGCUUAUGGAAUGAACUGGAUUCAUCCUCAAGGAAGAGCGGAUGAAACCAUUCAAAAAGGGAAUAGUACAGUCCAAAACGCAGAUUUUAAGGUCCUUAAGGGAUUGCAUCAUGUCUGCAGUGCUCCCUGCUAUGUCUCCAGCCAACUGCUAGCACAAGGUUCUGGCUCUGUCACCCAGGCUGGAGUUCAGUGGUGCGAACUUCGCUCACUGCAUCCUCGACCUCCUGGGCUCAAGUGAUGCUCCCACCUCAGCCUACCAAGUAGCUAGGACUACAGCUUGGGAAAGUUCCUAGACAUCAGGAAAUCAGCAUGUUCUCAAGCAAAUACACUUGAUAGACAUUCAUCUCAGCAGGAUAAAUAUCUACAGGAGAAAAUCAUGAAGCUACCAGAAUGUGGCCAAAGGGAAAAAUAUCCUAUGAUCAUUCCAGAUUUUUUGUGUUGGUUCUCCUCUCCU